AUGGAGGCGCUGCGGCGGCCGGCGCUGCCCGAGGACGCGGUGCGCUACCGCCUGUUCGCGGCGGCGGCGGCGGGCCCGGGCGGCGAGGCGCUGCUGCGGCGCUGCGCUGAGCUGGCCCUGGUGCGCUUCGCUCCGCUCCUGGCCGCCUACGUGUGGCAGCGGCAGCCGUUCCGCCUGCGCUACGUGCCGGGCCGCGGCGAGAUCCCGGCGCACUUGGGCGGCACCACGGAGUUCGGGGAUAACGUGGAGGAUGAGUGGUUCAUUGUGUACCUGCUGCGGGAGAUCACCAGAGAGUUCCCGGGGCUGGCAGCCAGUAUUGAUGACAACGAUGGAGAGUUUCUCUUGAUAGAAGCAGCUGAUUUUCUUCCAAAGUGGCUGAAUCCUGACAACAGUGAAAACAGGGUGUUCUUUUACAAAGGAGAGCUGCACAUCAUUGCGCCGGGGGAGCCUUGGGAGCAGGGCUGGGCCCUCUCUGCUCCCCGUGCCACGGUGCCGCAGGCGCUGGCUCUGUUAUCCACCCGCGCCAAGGAGUUCCUGGCUGCAGAGCCCAUCAGAGCUGCGCUCAAUAAACGCCUCCAUGGGUAUCCCGAGAAGAUCCAGGCCUCGCUGCACCGAGCCCGCUGCUUCCUCCCGGCCGGGAUCGCGGCCGUGCUGAGGCUGCGCCCGUCCCUGGUGGCUGCGGCAGUCCAGGCCUUCUACCUGCGGGAGCCGGGCGACCUGGGGGCCUGCCGGCGCCCGUUCAGAACCUUCCCUGCCGAGCAGCGAGUGAUGGCCCUGGUGACUUUCACUCGGUGUUUGUAUGCACAGCUGGUGCAGCAGCAGUUUGUUCCAGACAGACGCAGUGGAUACACCCUGCCCGCCCCAGCUCAUCCUCAGUACAGAGCCUACGAGCUGGGCAUGAAGCUGGCCCAUGGCUUUGAAAUGUUGUGCUCCAAGAGCAGCAAAGUGGCUCCUGAUGCCAAGAGAAACGUGUUAAGCGGUCCUCUGUGGGAGAGAUUCCUCAGGAGCUUGAAGGAGAAGGAUUAUUUCAAGGGAGAAAUGGAAGGAUCAGCCAAGUACCUGGAGCUGUUGCACAUGGCAGAAGAUCACUUCCAGCAAUCUGUUGCAGUGCCAGAAAGCUGUGAUGAAGUGAGCCCAGGUGAUGAAAUCCUGGCACUACUACAGACAACCCCCAUUGAUGUGAAGGAAUUGGAGAGAGAAGCAGCUUGUCUUCCUGCAGAGGAUGAUGACAGCUGGCUGGAUAUGACACCAGGUGCUCUGGAUCAGAUGCUGAAGGAGACAAGAAAUGAGUCCCUUCCUUCCCCAAAUGAGGAGGAGCAAAACUAUGACUUGGAAACAGUUGCUGAGAGCAUGAAGGCUUUUGUGUCCAAAGUGUCCACGCACGAAGGAGCAGAACUGCCAUGGUCAUCUGAUGAAUCCCAAGUUACCUUUGAUGUGGAUUCUUUUACAAAAGCCCUGGACAGAAUUUUAGGGGCAGACUCGGAGGAGCUGGAUUCUGAUGAUGUGGAUGAGGAGGAGGAGUUUGGUUUCUCAGAUGAGGAUGAUGAAGAGCUGGAUGGUGGGAAUGGAAGGCAGGAGCAGAAGGUGUCUCCUGAGGAGCUCGUGGGCAGUCUCAAGGCGUACAUGGAGGAGAUGGACCGUGAGCUGGCACAGACCAACGUUGGGAAAAGUUUCAGCAGCCACAAGAGAGGGGCAGGUUCUGUUGGAGCAGCCCCAUGUGAGAGUGCUGGCCCUGACUGUGGAGCUGAGGCUGCUGAGCUGGCAGCCCUGGAUGUGGACAUGAACCUGGUGGCAAACCUGCUCGAGUCCUACAGUGCCCAGGCUGGCCUGGCAGGACCCACCUCGAGCAUUUUACAGAGCCUGGGGGUGAAUUUACCUGAGAGCACAGAGCUCCCUGGCAGCUGAGCAAGGCAGGGAGAGCCUUGGCACAAGGCAUGGCUGCUGGGGAGAUGGAGCACAGACACACGAGCAGGAUGUGGGAGAAGAGGCCAAAGCAGUUCAGGGAGAGCACUGGCAGGUUGGACAGGGAUUAGAGAUGGACAGCAAGAGCUGGGAAGUGUGAAGAAGGUUCUGCUAAAUUUCAAGGAAUUUGGACUGCUGAGAGCAGCUUCCCAGGGGAGCCCUGCAAGGCUCUGGGAGUGCUCCCAGGAGAGUUUGCCAUGGCAGAAGAAGCAUUUCCAUGCUGCCUCUUCCUCUGCUUUGAGCAGGGCAACGCUGCCAGAUGGAAAUGGCCAAGGGCACGAGGCUGGCAAGUGAAGAGCAGAGCUGCUGUGAAGGGAAAGCUCAGUUCAUUCAGAGACAUCACACAGGUCACUUGAGCACUGUUACAGGGAGGAAGCAGAAAAUGAGAGAUUUCCAGGAAAGCCUUUGGAGUUAGUGGGGAAAAGGAGUCGUGAUACCCAGUGGCUGCAGGGAGGGUGAUCCAAAUUAGUUCUGAGCAGAUUUCCUUUUUUUUUUUAUUUGGUGAGGGUUAUUAACCUUACCUGCAGUUUUAAGGCCAAAUAGUUUUGGAAUAUAUUCUAGUUUAAUCUAGCUGUCCUCCAUGCUGCAUACUCACAGCAGCCAUAUUUGACUGUAUGAUGUGUGAAUUUGC